rnacentral:rRNA from 1 species
UACGUAGGAGGCAAGCGUUAUCCGGAAUGACUGGGCGUAAAGGGUGCGUAGGUGGUUUGACAAGUUAGUAGCGCAACUCCGGAGCUCAACUUCGGAACUACUACUAAAACUGGGAGACUUGAGUGCAGAAGAGGAGAGUGGAACUCCAUGUGUAGCGGUGAAAUGCGUAGAUAUAUGGAAGAACACCAGUGGCGAAAGCGGCUCUCUGGUCUGUAACUGACGCUGAGGUUCGAAAGCGUGGGGAGCAAACAGG